UUCAGGUUUGCCAGCGACACAUGUACGGCUGGGACUGUUAGGAGAAAAUAUUCAUUGGUGAUAGUUUGAAAAACCAACUUCUCUUUCGAUAGUUGGAAAUUAAUGUAUGCAUGGUUGUUUGUGAGGAUAUAUCCACUACAACACAACGAGUGCACUGUCAUUAUCUUUUAGCCACUUUCUAUACAGGACACCAUACUGAAUUUUGGAUUGCAAUUUGUGCUGCUAUGGUCUUUGUUUUCAGUAUGGUGUAGAAGGACAGACGAGCUUGUUGAUGGCUUGGUUUUCAUGUUCAUUUGGCUAGGUUUUGAAAGCCAUUGGAGUAGACCCCAUCAAGGGGUUUAUAGAUUUUCAGGUGUUGGCUUGAGUUGCAGUCUACUUUGUAAUUACCGUGACUCUAUUCGUCAUUUUUAAACUGAGGAAUUUGGGUUCUUGAUGGUUUAGCUAGAGCUUCAUUCUGGAUCUCGUCUUUAUUAUGUUUAUGCAGGUGGUGGAAAAUGCAAAAAUCUAGGCAGAAACGGUGGCAGCCAUGAUACGAUUGGAUAUGAGUGAAUAUAUGGAGCGGCAAAGAAAGUAGUUGGCAAGAUUAAAGUGGAAGAUGCUUUCAGACAACCGAACAAGUUGUAGUUGUUCAUCAACCAAGCAAAAGUCAUACCCAAAUCUUGCGUUGUGACUUUGUAUUAUUUGUGGAACUUAAUGUUGUGUAACAGUUUGAUUAAGUUUGUUUUGAAAACUUUAACUAGA